AUUGUUUUUUGUAAAAAAGCGUUUUAAUUCCUUGACGGAAAGUGCCCAUUCAUGUAUAUUAUAAUCAUCAUUUAACAGAAUAUAUUUCCGUUAUUAGAUAAAAAUAUCUGCUCUAUGUUUUGUUAGGUGGUAAUAUUCAUCUAAGGCACAAGAUGUGUCUUGACAGGCUUAGGAGGAAAAGUAAACAUGCAAAACGGUAAAGUAAAAUGGUUCAACAAUGAAAAAGGUUUCGGUUUCAUCGAAGUUGAAGGCGGAGACGAUGUAUUCGUUCACUUCACUGCUAUCCAAGGUGAAGGUUUCAAAUCUUUAGAAGAAGGCCAGGAAGUUUCUUUCGAAAUCGUUGAAGGAAACCGCGGACCUCAAGCUGCAAACGUUGUAAAACUAUAAUUCAAAUAUAACGAUAAAAAGGCUGGCACCUGCCAGCCUUUUAUUU
rnacentral:sRNA from 1 species